GAAAUGCGAUAAGUAAUGUGAAUUGCAGAAUUCAGUGAAUCAUCGAAUCUUUGAACGCACCUUGCGCUCCUUGGUAUUCCGAGGAGCAUGCCUGUUUGAGUGUCAGUAAAUUCUCAACCCCUCCAGCUCUUGUGGUUGGUUCUGGGGCUUGGACUUUGGAGGUUUUGCGGGCCUUUUUUCGAGGUCGGCUCCUCUGAAAUGCAUUAGCGGAACCGUUUGCGAUCCGUCACAGGUGUGAUAAUUAUCUAUGCCUAGUGGGUUGCUCUCUGUCUUGUUCAGCUUCCAACUGGUCCCAUUCUUGCGGACAAACUAUCACUGAACGUUUGACCUCAAAUCAGGUAGGAUUACCCGCUGAACUUAA
rnacentral:misc_RNA from 1 species